rnacentral:rRNA from 1 species
UACGUAGGUGGCAAGCGUUUGUCCGGAUUUAUUGGGUUUAAAGGGUGCGUAGGCGGCUUGAUAAGUCAGUGGUGAAAGCCGAUCGCUUAACGAUCGAAUUGCCAUUGAUACUGCCAGGCUUGAGUACAGUUGAGGUAGGCGGAAUUGACAGUGUAGCGGUGAAAUGCAUAGAUAUCUGGAGGAACACCGGUGGCGAAGGCGGCGUUCUGGACUGCUACUGACACUGAGGAACGAAAGCCAGGGGAGCAAACGGGG